UACGGAGGGUGCAAGCGUUAUCCGGAUUCACUGGGUUUAAAAGGUGCGUAGGCGGGCAGGUAAGUCCGUGGUGAAAUCCCCGAGCUUAACUCGGGAACUGCCAUGGAUACUAUUUGUCUUGAAUAUUGUGGAGGUAAGCGGAAUAUGUCAUGUAGCGGUGAAAUGCUUAGAUAUGACAUAGAACACCAAUUGCGAAGGCAGCUUACUACACAGUUAUUGACGCUGAGGCACGAAAGCGUGGGGAUCAAACAGG
rnacentral:rRNA from 1 species